GGCCCAAGCUCUAGCCAUUGAGCCAAGCCAGCUAGGGCUACAUCUAAAUUCUUAAAAAUAUAUUUUAUGCCAAUUUCUCAAAAGAAUUAAGUGACCCACAGUAUUAAAAUACAUUUUAAAAACAAAAAAUAAAUGUAGACAAUAUCUAAAUGGCCAAUUUAUAAAAAGAGAAAUGUACAAAUAAAUUUUUCAGUAUUAUCUUCAUAUGAUUUGCUGAACAAAAUCUCCUGAAAUGUAUUUUAUGUUGUUAUAUCAGCAAAAUAUUAAUAUUAUAAAAAUGCAGAAUAUUUAGUGAACCAAUGGUCUAACGGAUCUGAAUUAUAAUGCUAAGCUUAUUUAUAAAUACUUUCCCUCCCUAACAUACUGAUCCUUACUAUUUGGAAAAUUCCUGUCUGCUAUUCAAGUCGGAAAGCUUGGACAGCUUUGCAACAUUACUGCACACCUACAGGUGGGACUUAAACAACUGCAAGGAACUUUUAGGUGUUUCCCCAGUACUGAGAUUCUGAGAUUCAACAGCUUCAGAGCAGAAACCAUAGGGGUUUGGCUGGUCCAAAUCACUAAUUCCAUUUUUAGUGUGUAUGUCUUUAACUCAUCUUUGCAACUAACAGCAUUACCACCAAACUUCUGAAACAAUUUCCUUCCAGAAACAUGUUCAUUGCUUAUAGCUGAUCUUCUGUUAAUUCGUGAACUAAAAAUUUAGAGAAACCUCAUGAGACUUUUGCUCAAACAAAAAGAAAAUCCAAUAAGAACUGAAGACCACCAUUUAUUUGAAUAACUCAGGCCCACCAUCAUGACCAAUGUUCCUCCUCUGGCACAUCUCAAAAUAAAACUUCUGGCGAGAGAAGGUUUCCUUAAAAGAUUACAAAUUACUGAAACAUCAACAGUUGGAAGCAACGCUGGCAAAGCUGUUGGAACUGGGGGAUCACAUUCUCUUUGCGGCUGAAAUGCAGCUCUGCAGAGCUGUUUUGCUGCUUUUUAAGAGAAAGGUUCUUCAAGAAAAACUAUGAGCAUGGGAAAGGAAUUAACGCAACCCCAUCCCCAGCCCUUUUAUAUCACAAGUCAAUGAGUGAUCUAAAAUAAACUUCAGAAGCUACGUACACCAUUAAAGAAUGUGAGAAGAAUUUUAAACACAGAAAAAAGAAUGAGGGUGAAAGAGGGUAUAAACGAGGUCAUGGAAAACGGGGGUAAUGCUGGCCGAAGACAAGGCCAGGCUGGCUGCCACCUGGUCAGAGCUCACUCUCAGGACUCAGAAGAAAACGCCUGAACACACUUCACUGCUGUUUCAGAAUACAGUACAAAGCACGUAAUCUACUGAGAUGAGUAAGGUAAAGUAAUCCGUGGUGUGCAUUACCUACAAACCAAACCAAAGAAAGGAAAAUGGAAUAACACGCUUUAAAUAUUAAGAGCCAAUGAUAUUUUUUAACCAUUAGGUAUUUUUCAGAUCAGUUCAGAGCCUUUUAUACAUUUAACCAAGUACAACUCUACCAAACGGGAUGGAAAAAAGAUCUCAAUACCCAUAGAGCUGCAGAAAGCUUUGGACUUUGUUAAAAUUAUCUGAAUAAAAAAAUGGAAAGAAAAAGAAAAAGCACUAUUAUUUUUGAAAAUAUCUGUGCAUAGGUUAAUAGAAGUUUCUAAAACUAAUGUAAAACUAAACCACCAUAUUUUACUGAGAGAUCAAGAUGGGUAGAAACUAGUGAAAAAUAAAAGUAUCAGAUAAAUCCUGAA